UCCUCCCUCCUCCUCCUCCUCUCUCCUCCCUCCUCCUCCUCCUCUCUCCUCCCUCCUCCUCCUCCUCUCUCCUCCCUCCUCCUCCUCCUCUCUCCUCCCUCCUCCUCCUCCUCCUCCUCCUCCUCCUCCUCCUCCUCCUCCUCCUCCUCUCUCCUCCCUCCUCUCCUUUCCCCUUUCCCCUUCUCCCACUCUCUCUACUGCACGCUCCCUCGCCUUCCUCCCAGUCCCAAUGCUGGCAACUCGAGCUGAACUUGAUCCCUUUGCAGUUCAAAGGUGUUAGCUGCAGCCUGAUCAUGUCUGCCUAUUUGGAGAGAAGAGAUAGUACCUACCCCUGCCUUUUUGGUGACAUCUGAUAUGAAACUUGCUUUUGCGACCAACAAAGGGGAAUCUUUGCUUCUAGCUUCCUCGUCAAACAGAUUUGCUUAAAACAUAGGAGAGAGGGUGAGCGAAAAACAUGGUAAACUUGAAAAGGUAUGACUGAAACUAAGGCAGUGCCCCAGUUUGUUUUAUGUUGUCCUAUAAAGUAGGACUUUCCAAAGGUCUGUAAGCCAGUAUCACCUUCAACUACCAAAAGUUACUCUCUUUACGUGUCCUGGUCAGUGAUCUUCAGUUUCUGAAUUACUUUCAUGGGCAGAUUUAAUGUGAUGCUAAUGAAGCUUAAGCUUUCAGGGUCUCUCGCUUGACCUUGGGGGGUGAGGGGAAAGCAGCAAUGUGUUUGCAUAAUCACAUGGCUUUGAAAUUUGCAACAGUAAGAAUUUUAAGGGCAAAAGGUUAAGAGCACUGCUCCCCUCCACUCCAAUUUCCUCCAUCACACGUUUUGUUUCAAUAGUGUUACAGAGUCCAGGGCAUGUUGGGGAUCUAGUUAAGGGAAGAUUCAGGUGGGGAUACAUACUAGUUGAGGGAAAGUUAAGUUGGGGAUACGUUUAAUUUGGGUGUGUUCAGAUGUACUUUUGUGGAUUCAGUCUCUCUCAUUCGUAGUGAAGUUAUUGCUGACAACCAAGGCUUCCAGAAAUUUGCUCAGCAUCCACUGUAUUGGCACAAAGGUGUAGUGCCCGAGGCUCUCGGGUGAU
rnacentral:lncRNA from 1 species